rnacentral:rRNA from 1 species
AUGGCCGUCGUCAGUUCGUACUGUGAAGCAUCCUGUUAAGUCAGGCAACGAGCGAGACCCACGCCACAGUUGCCAGCUCGUCCUCCGGGAUGGUGGGGACGACUGUUGGGACCGCCUCUGCUAAAGAGGAGGAAGGAAUGGGCAACGGUAGGUCAGCAUGCCCCGAAUUAUCUGGGCUACACGCGGGCUACAAUGGGUGGGACAAUGGGUAUCGACACCGAAAGGUGAAGGCAAUCUCCUAAACCCAUCCGUAGUUCGGAUUGUGGGCUGGCAACUCGCCCACAUGAAGCUGGAAUCUGUAGUAAUCGUGUCUCAAAAUGGCACGGUGAAUAUGUCCCUGCUCCUU